rnacentral:misc_RNA from 1 species
CUGAUUCUGAAGGAAUGUGCUGGCCUCGAAGGAGGAAUUGUGCACUUCCUCUCAAAGUCUCAUUCACCUGUGCACAUAUGAUGGGCAAACCAAGACAAUUGGUUUUUGCUCGUUGCAUUUUUCUCACACUAAACUAUGAUAUUGUAUUUGAAAUCAAAUGUAA